rnacentral:rRNA from 1 species
AUUGAACGCUGGCGGCAGGCCUAACACAUGCAAGUCGAGCGGUAGAGAGGUGCUUGCAUCUCUUGAGAGCGGCGGACGGGUGAGUAAUGCCUAGGAAUCUGCCUGGUGGUGGGGGAUAACGUUCGGAAACGGACGCUAAUACCGCAUACGUCCUACGGGAGAAAGCGGGGGAGUCUUCGGACCUCGCGCCAUUAGAUGAGCCUAGGUCGGAUUAGCUAGUUGGUGAGGUAAUGGCUCACCAAGGCGACGAUCCGUAACUGGUCUGAGAGGAUGAUCAGUCACACUGGAACUGAGACACGGUCCAGACUCCUACGGGAGGCAGCAGUGGGGAAUAUUGGACAAAUGGGCGGAAAGACCUGAUCCACGCCACUGCCGCGUGUGUGAAGAAGGUCUUCGGUAGUG